AUUUAAGAUGUGUAUCUACUAUAAAUAUGGAGAUAACAUAAUAAGUAUGCUUUAGGUGGGCGUUUAACGAGUAUCUUUGUAGCCAUAAAGAACCCUACAGACGUGA